rnacentral:rRNA from 1 species
CGGAACGGGUGAGUAACACGUGAGCAACCUGCCCUAUACAACGGGAUAACACAGAGAAAUUUGUGCUAAUACGGUAUAAGACCACAGUAUCGCAUGAUACAGGGGUAAAAGAUUUAUCGGUAUAGGAUGGGCUCGCGACCCAUUAGCUAGUUGGUGAGGUAACGGCCCACCAAGGCAACGAUGGGUAGCCGACCUGAGAGGGUGAUCGGCCACACUGGGACUGAGACACGGCCCAGACUCCUACGGGAGGCAGCAG